rnacentral:lncRNA from 1 species
UACAUAUAUAUAUAUAUAUAUAUACACAUAUAUAUAUGUAUGACAACUUGUUAAGGAAUAGAGAACAGUGCAACCACACACUUGCAAAGGAGAAAAGAAGGAAGGUCGAAGAAGACAGAAAAGUGAAAAAAAACAAAAAAACAAGAUGAUAAUAUUCGCGGGACCAAAAUAUUUUGCAAUGGGACCAAGAGAAGAAUUCGAAAUUGGAAAACCAAAGUCAGGAGAAACGUAAGCAUCGAUUUUGAAUUCUUUCUAUGUUUGUAUGUGUGUGUGUGAGGGAGAGAAAGAAGUGGGGGAGGGAAAAAAGAUAGGAAGACAGUGUGGGUGUGUAUGUGAGCGUGUAAGUGUUUAGGGGCGUGAGGUUGUAUGCCUGUUAUAUAUAUUUGUGUGAGUGUUUGUGUUCAACAUUGUCAAAGUUUAUUGUCAUUCAGAGCAUGAAAAUUCGUGUGUGUGCAUAUAUAUAUAUAUAUAUAUAUGCAUGUGUACAUAUAUAUGCGUGUGUGCAUAUACAAACAUAUGUAUAUAUAUAUAUAUAUAUAUAUUUACAUAUAAGUACACAUAAAUAUUUAUAUAUAUAUAUAUAUAUAUAUAUAUAUAUAUAUAUAUAUAUAUAUAUACAUACACACAUACACAUUUAUAUGAAUAUAUAUAUAUAUAUAUAUAUAUAUACAUAUAUGUUUGUAUGUAUGCUUGCAUGUAUGUAUGUGCGUGUGCAUGUAAGUUUAUAUAUUCAUAUAUUUAUAUAUCUAUGAGUUUGUUAGUGUGUAUAUAUGCAAGCGUGCAAAAAAUCAUUCAUUGCACUGCAUAUACACACAUGCAUAUAUAUAUAUACAUAUGUGCGUGUGUGUAUGCUUUUAUAUAUAUAUAUAUAUAUACACAUUUUACGCAUAUGCUUCUGUAUAUAUAUGUAUAUGAGCAUAUAUAUGUAUAUAUAUACAGAUAUGUGUGUGUUUGUUGUGUGUAUGUAUAUAUGAAUAUAUAUGUAUAUAUGACGGUUAUCGAGAUCUUGUGUGCAGUUUUAAAUUUGCAUAGCGCCACUUUGAUUCUAUAUAUGGUAUUUUCAAUCUGUGAAAAAAAAAAAAGAAAGAAAAAAAAGAUAAGCCUGCGAGUUUAUUGCAUUUUCGAAGAAGAAUUAUUCUUGAGAUUGGUAAUUUUCAACAUGUCCACCGUCGUCACGUAGAUAAACUUGCAAUGCGAUUCUGAAGUUCUAGGAAUACCUUUUGCAGUUGAUUUCCAGUUCCACCCAGAAUCAAAUUUGGUACCUACGCUUGCAUUGCAAGCCAUCUAUAGAACAUGGUUUAGUUCAACGAAGACAAGUCUUUACAUGUCUUCACAUAAAAUAUGAUUUUUAGAAAUUAUUAAUUUUUUUUUUUUUGUUUGCCAAAAAAAUAUUUAGAAAAAUAAUUCUAAUAAUUGCUAUUUUGAUUAUACAAAUGCAUCAGGCUUCUAAAAGUUUUUGCCAUUAUUAUUCUUAUUUUAAUGAUUAAAUCUAAAUUGCAAAGAUCUGAAGUUAUAAAACAAUUUAGAUUUUUAAAAAUCAUAUUUUAUUAGACCUCUAAAAUACCCUUGCACAUAUAUAUAUAUAUAUAUAUAUAUAUAUAUAUAUAUAUAUAUAUAUAUAGCGUGGAAAUUGAUUUCUCGUUCUUGGAGUUGCAAGAAUAAAAUAUUUGCAAAACCUUGCUACGUCUAACGGCGACGGAUGCUAGCCUCCACAGCAUCUAGGCUCAAUGCUUUUCGUUUUCCUAUAAUUUUACCAUCUAUAGGUGCAUCGCUUUUGUCGCUGUAUGCAUCCAUAUGUUGUCUCUUAAAUUGACAUUUCGGAAAAUUUCUUUCCUUCUAAGCAUCUAGAUAGCAUUCUGCCGAUGUGUGGUAUAUACAUAUAUAUAUAUAUAUAUAUAUAUAUAUAUAUAUAUAUAUGCUUCAGUUAAUACAUAUUAUAUAUGUGCAUAUAUUAUUUAUAUAGAUUCUCGCGUAUACACAAUUUGCUGCCUAGAUUUGUAUAUACAUACAUUCAUGCAUGCAUAAAUACAGACAUGCAAAUAUGCGUACGUACAUAGAUACGUGCAUGCAUGCACACAUACUUACAUAAAUACAUAGAAACAAUGCAUCGAUUCAUAAUGUGCAUACAUACAGAGUUGCAUUUUAUAUUAAAUCCCAUUAAAUCACACAUGGAUAUAUAUAUAUAUACAUAUAUAUAUAUAUAUAUAUAUAUAUAUAUAUAUAUAUAUAUAUAUAUAUAUAUAUAUAUAUAUAUAUAUAUAUAUAUAAUAUAACACACACACAUAUAGAUACAUAUAUAUGUAUGAAUGCAUGUAUGAAUGUAUGUAUGUAUGUAUGCAUGUAUAAAGUCUUUGAAUAUUCAUGUGUGCUAAAUAUGUCUUAACAUGUACCUAUAUAUGGAAAUAUAUAUUAUAAUAUAUAUGUGUAUGUAUAUAUACACGCAGACUACAUAUCUGUGUGUGUGUGUGUAUGCAUGUAUGUAUGAAUAUAUAUAUAUAUA